UCUCUUCCCCUCGCCUCCCUCCCCCGUUAUCUACCGCCUCCUCUCUCGCUCGCCAUCCCACCACCGCAUCGCCUUCCGCCAUUUGGACCCUCUCGCGGCCUCAUCUCCUGCUCGUCCUUCGUUGCACCAGCGCGUAGGUUCCCCACGCGGCUGGGUCUCGGGAGCGCGCGCAGCCCAUCCCAGUGGCCCCCGCUUCGUCGCCGCAGGACUACGACACCGCGUCCUGAGUCCCGCGAGAGCUCCGGAGGUUUCGCAUCCAGUGGAUCUCGGCAAGUCCGUUUCCUCCAGCAGAGCGGCUCGGAGGUGCUGCAGUGCUGUUCCCUCGGGUCGAGGAAUUGGAAGCCACUGAAUUUGGUCGUUGCGGAGCUCAUGGGUUAAGAACAAUUUCUUCUAGCCCGGCUACAAAUUUGUAGUUGGAUUCAACAUAUGCAUUUCUGACGCUGACAUAGGAUGUGCUCCACCAUCCGUGAAGUCUCUAUAGUUGCACAAACCACCACUGCACUAUCUGUAUCUCUUUGAAUCAAGUUAAUGGGUAGCGCCUGCCAAGCUGGCUUGGAUGGGCCUCACAAGGAUGUGAGAGGGAUCGCAAAUGUUGCCACUGAGAAUGGCCACCAUGGGGCCGAGGCUGAUGCGGAUGAAUGGAGAGAAAAAGAAGAGGACUUGCCCAAUGGGCACAGUGCGCCACCGGGCGCACAGCAGUUGGAUGAGCAGAAGGAGCAACAGACUAUUCUGUGGGAGAGGUUCCUCCCUGUGAAGACACUGAGAGUCUUGCUGGUGGAGAACGAUGACUCUACUCGUCAGGUGGUCAGUGCCCUGCUCCGUAAGUGCUGCUAUGAAGACCUGCAGAACAACAUUGACCUUGUAUUGACUGAGGUUUUCAUGCCUCGUCUAUCUGGCAUCGGUCUGCUUAGCAAAAUCACUAGUCACAAAGUCUGCAAGGACAUUCCUGUGAUUAUGAUGUCUUCGAAUGACUCUAUGAGUAUGGUGUUUAAGUGUUUGUCAAAGGGAGCAGUUGACUUCUUAGUAAAGCCACUACGGAAGAAUGAGCUUAAGAACCUUUGGCAGCACGUUUGGAGGCGGUGUCACAGUUUGGAUUUGCCUCUUUGGUGCUCAGUCCAGUGGUAGUGGAAGUGAAAGUGGCAUCCAGACACAAAAGUGUGCCAAACCAAAUACUGGUGACAAGUAUGAGAACAACAGUAACAGCAAUCAUGAUGAUGACGAAGAUGAUGACUUGAGUGUCAGACUCAAUGCUAGGGAUGGAAGUGAUAAUGGCAGUGGUACUCAAAGUUCAUGGACAAAGCGUGCUGUGGAGAUUGACAGUCCACAACCCAUGUCUCCUGAUCAGCUAGUUGAUCCACCUGAUAGUACAUGUGCACAAGUAAUUCACCCCAAAUCUGAGAUAUGCAGUAACAAGUGGUUACCAGGUGCAAACAAAAGGAAUAGCAAGAAAAAGAAGGAGAAUAAAGAUGAAUCUAUGGGGAAAUAUUUAGAAAUAGGUGCUCCUAGGAAUUCGAGUGUAGAAUAUCAAUCAUCUCUCAAUGAUACCUCUGUUAAUCCAACAGGAAAAAGACAUGAGAUUCACAUUCCUCAAUUCAAAUCUAAAAAGAAAGUGAUGGCAGAUGAUGAUUGCACAAACAUGAUGAGUGAACCAAAUACUGAAACGGCUGAUUUGAUUAGCUCAAUAGCCAGAAAUACAGAAGGCCAGCAAGCAGUACAAGUUGCUGAUGCACCUGGUUGCCCUUCCAGAAUACCCGAUGGAAAUGAUAAGAAUCAUGAUUCCCAUAUCCAAGUGACACCACAUGAGUUGGGUUUGAAGAGAUUGAAAACAAAUGGAGCUACCACGGAAAUCCAUGAUGAGCGAAAUAUUCUGAGAAGAUCAGAUUUGUCAGCCUUCACCAGGUGCAAAACAUAAUAUCAGUGUCAUUACUAGGUUAUGAACAUAACAGUAAGUUGCAUACUAACGCUUUCUGAUUCUGCAAGGUACCAUACAUCUGUGGCUUCCAAUCAAGGUGGAGCAAGAUUUGGGGAAAGCUCUUCACCGCAAGAUAACAGUUCUGAGGCUGUUAAAACGGACUCUACCUGCAAGAUGAAGUCAAAUUCAGAUGCUCCUCCAAUAAAGCAGGGCUCCAAUGGCAGUAGCAACAACAAUGACAUGGGCUCCAGUACAAAGAAUGUUGUCGCAAAGCCUUCGGGUAACAGGGAGAGAGUAACAUCACCAUCAGCUGUCAAAUCUACUCAACAUACCUCAGCAUUCCAUCCUAUGCCACACCAAACAUCACCAGCUAAUGUAGUUGGGAAAGACAAAACUGAUGAAGGAAUUUCCACUGCAGUGAAAGUGGGCCAGACAGAGGGACCACAAAGCUGUGUGCAACAUCAUCAUCACGUACACUACUACCUCCAUGUUAUGGCACAGAAACAGACAUCAAUUGACCAUGGAUCAUCAGACGCUCAGUGUGGUUCAUCCAAUGUGUUUGAUCCUCCUGUUGAAGGACACGCUGCAAACUACAGUGUGAAUGGAGCUGUCUCUGUUGGUCACAAUGGGUGCAAUGGGCAGAAUGGAAGUAGCGCUGCUGCACCCAAUAUCGCAAGACCAAACAUGGAGUGUGUUAAUGGUACCAUGAGCAAAAAUAUGGCUGGAGGUGGUAGUGUAAGCGGAAGUGGCAAUGACAUGUAUCAGAAUCGGUUCCCUCAACGAGAAGCUGCAUUGAACAAAUUCAGAUUGAAGCGGAAAGAUCGGAACUUCGGUAAAAAGGUUCGAUACCAAAGCAGGAAGAGGCUGGCUGAGCAGCGGCCACGGGUCCGUGGGCAGUUUGUGCGACAAUCUGGACAAGAAGAUCAAGCAGGCCAAGAUUCAGAGGGAUGAUACAAGCCUACUAAUACAAAAAGGUGUCUUCUUCAUCGGCAGAUCUGAGAAUUAGGCAGGUCUUUGCAUUGCCGAUAGAAUCCAUUGAUUCCCAACGCUAGAUUACUCAUCAAUAAAUAAGAACCCAGUUAUCAUUUCUAUGGCUGACUCCAGAUGAACAUCAGAGUGCUAUGGAAUUAAUCUGUGUAAUAUUUAUGGGUUUAAUGUGUUAUAGAUGCAGUGGCGGUUUGCAGCCUUCAGUUUCCAUUGGUCCUUGCAGUGAUAUAUACUUGUUCAAGGAGCAAACCAGCAGCGGCAUUGCUAAUGAAGUAUGCACAUUAAUCUCAGGAUCGAGCUGGAAUAACUGAUUCGACCAGCUAUUCAUUUGAAGAACGUGCUUUCGAAUCAACAAAUAUAUUUGGUUCCAUUAUUUCCUGUCGUAUUCCUUAGCUGCUGUUUUUCAUUGUUAUUUCUCUGCAAUCUCUUUUCUCUCAUAUGUAAAUGUAAAACAAGUAGGGGCUUGCCCCUCCUGUUUCCUAUAAGAAAUGUGAGAUACAAAAUAGGUCUGUUAUGCA